rnacentral:lncRNA from 1 species
GUCACUAGGAUGAAUAGUCACUGUGUAUUUAAACUCCCUCACACCAAAUAUAGAAUCCUCCAAGUUUUAGUCUUUAAAUAUUUUCCCAACACUUACGAUAUUAAAAAGCUGAGUGUAAUUAAUUGGUGCCAUAUAUAACUGUGAUAGCUGGCAUCUGGAUACUUUUCCUGUUAUUAAGUUUACCGUUUUGCUGUAACCACUGUAUCGGUGAAGUCGGAAUGCUUCCUGCUUAAUACCUGCUAAAUGUUUUUUUUAUCUUCCACAAGGAAAAGGAAGCUUUAGAAUUGUUAAAUACAGUUUUAUGGGAGUUGAAAUAAAUGCUUAAAAUUUUAUGAGCCCUUUUGACCUUAUCCUUUUAUUAAGAAAUAUAAACUUUAUGGAAUAAGGGCUUUUUAAAAACAAACACUUUUGUGUUCUAGUCCAUGUAGUUAAAUAUAGUUAGCAUAUUGUUGCUGAUCUAAAAACCUAUGUCUGGAUGGCAAGUUAGACUUCUUCAGACUGCGUCAGAUGCUGAAAUGGUCAGGAAUAAGAAAUUACCCACUACCGAUACGGGUACCUAUUUGACAGAAGGCCUCUGUGGGCUUUCUAAGGCUCAAGAAGCUCAACAGCUGGAGAGCAAAUGCUUUUUCUUCUUGAGCAAUGAUGCUCUUUGGGAGCCCUCAGGCUCCCGACUGGUAACAUGUCAGCCUCUUGUGCAAGUUAACAGAAAAUGUAAGGAUCUAAUUUAAGCCAUCCUCAAAUAUGUGAAUUAAAUGGCUAAUAAUUUUAUUUUAAAUAUCAAACCUUCCCGUAUAGGACUUCUGAGAAGAAACCUCAGAUAAUGGAUCUCCCUAGAUACAAGUGGUUUUUAGAUUCUGUAAUGCUGUUAUCUUUUGUUCAACAUUGCAAAAUUUAGAUCUAAGCCUUGGGUAAGGAAUUAAAUAUUACCUCAAUCAAAUAUAUCCUUAAUAGUUUAAGAGAACAGAAUCAGAAGAGAAUCAAUGGCAUGUUUAAUAGGAACCUGGCCAUUUACUGUUUGCUUUUGUAAGAGAUCAAAUAUCUAAUGCCAGAUUUUAACAGCAGCAUGAUAUGCUAGAAAGACCAUCUAAAGUGGUGCCAGGAGACCCGUUUAAUGUAGCCCAGAAUUCAAGUUCCAAGAGUAUAGGCUGUGUGAACUUGACCAAGUCAUGGAACUUCUUUGAGUCUCAAUUUCACACCACAGGUAAUAAGGGUAAAUAUGGGAAUAAACCACUUUCUAGGGUUAGAGUCUUAUGAGAGAUGAGGUUGUGAAAAUGAUUUAUGAAUAGCAAAGCCUGGAUUUGAAUUCUCACUUUAGUGCUUUCUGGAAUUGUAGUUUUGGAUAAAUUACUUAACCCAAUAAAACCAUGUUUUUCAUGAUUUAAAAUAAAGAAAAAAAUCCAAUAUUUGCAAACUAUUACAAAGUAGGAAGCUUCAGAAAUGUUACUUGCUGUUAUAACUUACUAUUUUUGCUAAGUGUCUACAAAUCUAUUGUCCUCUGGAGAUUUAAAAUAAUGUCAUAAAAUUUUAUUUUAAGAUAUUUGAAGUCUAUUCUAGUAGGUCCUUAUUUUCACUUGAAGAUUUGUUACUGCUCACACUUCCUUGUAAAUUAGAGUAAUUUUUAAACUAAGAAUUUAUGUAGAAUGAGCAGCUUUCUUCCUGAAGACAUAAUGUCCCCUCUGUAUGUAAUUUUUUAGCUCUCUGAUGCAGGAGACUUUAAAAGAGGAAUGGAUGUCCAGGAUUUUUUCAUCAUUUACAGUGUGCCAUAAUUAAUUACAAUUUAAAUUGUUUUGUUGGUGUAUUUGGCAUAAAAUAAGGGAAGCUUUUUUGACUCUAUAGAUAUAAGGUCAAUUUUUAAAAAUAAAUUCUGCAAUGAGAAAACAUUUGAAGCCACUGCGAGCUCUUGGUGCCCUUUGCAGAGAACAUGUUUGAGAGGCACCAGUGAUUGCCUGCCUCUUACAAUCCAUUUAGAGAGUCAACCUCAAACCUUUCCUUAGGUAAUGGGAUUAGCACUCUGUUGGGACUGCAAUCCUUACAGAUACAAAUUUGUUUCUAAAUGUCCUAGCUAGUAAUCCUAUGCUCUUUAACAGGUUUUAUAAUGUAAUUGACACUCUUGGAAUGGAAAACAUAGAUGGCAGACUUCUUUCUACUGGAUCAGGAAAUUCAGAGGCUUUAACAGAAAGUACUCUGGAGGAAGUUAAAAUUAGUUGCUCCUGGUCUUUGUUCUUCAAUGAUAGUGUCAUUGAAGGAAAGUGAUGAGUAAGCUGAAUUUAGAAUACAGUGAUCCAUAGAUGCUUUUUAUAAGCUGUUCAACCAUACAUGAAGAAAUUUCCUUUUAAUGUCCUUAAUUUUUAUUAUUUCAAGAUAAAAAUAUAUUAAGAAAUAUUUUCAGUUUAAGCAUAGCGCUUGAUACUUUAAAAACUUUCUGAGCCAGUUAGUUUUAAUAUAAAAGGAAUAAAAGUCGGGCAGCCCCGUGGCUCAGAGGUUUAGCAUUGCCUUCAGCCCAGGGUGUGAUCCUGGAGACCCGGGAUCGAGUCCCACACCAGGCUCCCUGCAUGGAGCCUGCUUCUCCCUCUGCCUGUGUUUCUUCCUCUCUCUCUCCUUCUGUGUCUCUCAUGAAUAAAUAAAUAAAGUCUUUAAAAAAAAAAAA